UGCGAACUUUGCUGUUCACCACCAUGGCUGC
rnacentral:piRNA from 1 species